rnacentral:rRNA from 1 species
UACAGAGGGUGCUAGCGUUGUUCGGAAUCAUUGGGCGUAAAGCGCGUGUAGGCGGUUUGGUAAGUCCGCUGUGAAAGUCGAGGGCUCAACCCUCGAAUGCCGGUGGAUACUGUCGGGCUAGAGUACGGAAGAGGCGAGUGGAAUUCCUGGUGUAGCGGUGAAAUGCGCAGAUAUCAGGAGGAACACCAAUUGCGAAGGCAGCUCGCUGGGACGUUACUGACGCUGAGACGCGAAAGCGUGGGGAGCGAUCCGG